UGCCAUAAGAGAAACAUGUGCAUGCAGGGGAUCCCAAUAAAAGCAAUGACUUUUGAGAGUACCUCCAAAACCUAUGGAACAACCUCUGCUGGAGAGGUUCUCAGUCCAAAAUUAGAAACUACAUUUGGCUUUCGGCUUUCGGCUAGGAGGAGGCGAAGGUGCAACUUUCUUCGGUCGUCCGAAUCCGGGUUCAUCCGACACCAGCCGCCUCCACCAUGCCGCCUAAGUUUGACCCCAACGAGAUCAAAGUCGUGUACCUGAGGUGCACCGGUGGGGAAGUUGGUGCCACGUCUGCCCUGGCCCCCAAGAUCGGCCCGUUGGGCCUGUCUCCAAAAAAGGUCGGUGAUGACAUAGCCAAGGCAACUGGUGAUUGGAAGGGUCUGAGGAUUACAGUGAAACUGACCAUUCAGAACAGACAAGCCCAGAUUGAGGUGGUACCUUCUGCUUCUGCCCUGAUCAUCAAAGCCCUCAAGGAACCACCAAGGGACAGAAAGAAGCAGAAAAACAUUAAGCACAGUGGAAACAUCACUUUUGAUGAGAUCGUCAACAUUGCCCGGCAGAUGCGGCACCGGUCUCUAGCUAGAGAACUUUCUGGAACCAUUAAAGAGAUCCUGGGGACUGCCCAGUCUGUGGGCUGCAAUGUUGAUGGCCGCCACCCUCAUGACAUCAUAGAUGAUAUCAACAGUGGUGCAGUGGAGUGCCCAGCUAGUUAAGAACUGCAAAGGAAAAAGAAAAAUAAAGGAUCAUUUGACAACCAGUGGAAAAAAAAAAAAAAAGA